AUUUUUACCUCUUCUUAGACUUUCGUUCCCUCUCGCGAAUUCAUCUUCGUCUCUCACUGAAUCACUUCGUCAUCUUCCUCCUUCAAUCUCUCUCUCAGGUCACUUCUUCAUCUUCUUGAUUAAUUCUCGUGCUGCACUCGCACUCCCUCCCUCUCGCUCAGCCACACAUCAGAUCUUAUUGGGUCCUCAAGCGCAAACCUUUCUUCUAGGGUUCCUGAGCCAAACCAUGGAAGGGAGAGUGCAAAAGAAGAAGAGACAGUUCAGAGAGUGGCUCGUUGCUAAUGUCAAGACGAAAACCCUAUUCGAGCUCCAAACAAGGUAAAUUCUCUGACCUUCCUCACUCUCACAACUACCCUCCCUGCUCCCUGACUCUCGCUUACUGGCUUAGCGGCUUCCCAUCACUCUCGCUUGCAGUUGCCUCUCUUCCCCCUCACCCGUAACUGCCUCCCCUCACUCUCGCUCACUCUCACUCUACAACUACAAUAUGCUUUCAAUUUUCUUUUUCCUUCCAGUGCCCUAACCUGCCAUGGGUGUUGGAUUAGAGCUCCAUGGUUUUAGUUUUUGUUCUUCCUUAUAGUGCCCUAAUCUGCAAUGGGUGAUCGAAGCUUCAG
rnacentral:lncRNA from 1 species